AUUGAACGCUGGCGGCAGGCCUAACACAUGCAAGUCGAGCGGAUGAGGGGAGCUUGCUCCUUGAUUCAGCGGCGGACGGGUGAGUAAUGCCUAGGAAUCUGCCUGGUAGUGGGGGAUAACGUUCCGAAAGGAACGCUAAUACCGCAUACGUCCUACGGGAGAAAGCAGGGGACCUUCGGGCCUUGCGCUAUCAGAUGAGCCUAGGUCGGAUUAGCUAGUUGGUGAGGUAAUGGCUCACCAAGGCGACGAUCCGUAACUGGUCUGAGAGGAUGAUCAGUAACACUGGAACUGAGACACGGUCCAGACUCCUACGGGAGGCAGUAGUGGGGAAUAUUGGACAAUGGGCGAAAGCCUGAUCCAGCCAUGCCGCGUGUGUGAAGAAGGUCUUCGGAUUGUAAAGCACUUUAAGUUGGGAGGAAGGGCAGUAAGUUAAUACCUUGCUGUUUUGACGUUACCAACAGAAUAAGCACCGGCUAACUUCGUGCCAGCCGCCGCGGUAAUAC
rnacentral:rRNA from 1 species